rnacentral:rRNA from 1 species
UACGAAGGGGGCUAGCGUUGCUCGGAAUCACUGGGCGUAAAGGGUGCGUAGGCGGGCCUUUAAGUCAGGGGUGAAAUCCUGGAGCUCAACUCCAGAACUGCCUUUGAUACUGAGGAUCUUGAGUACGGGAGAGGUGAGUGGAACUGCGAGUGUAGAGGUGAAAUUCGUAGAUAUUCGCAAGAACACCAGUGGCGAAGGCGGCUCACUGGCCCGUAACUGACGCUCAGGCGCGACAGCGUGGGGAGCAAACAGG